rnacentral:rRNA from 1 species
UACGUAGGGUGCAAGCGUUAAUCGGAAUUACUGGGCGUAAAGCGUGCGCAGGCGGCUUUGCAAGACAGGUGUGAAAUCCCCGGGCUUAACCUGGGAACUGCGCUUGUAACUGGCAAGCUUGAGUGUGGCAGAGGGGGGUGGAAUUCCACGUGUAGCAGUGAAAUGCGUAGAGAUGUGGAGGAACACCGAUGGCGAAGGCAGCCCCCUGGGCUAACACUGACGCUCAUGCACGAAAGCGUGGGGAGCAAACAGG